GCCUGGGUGGCUCAGUCAGUUAAGCAUCUGACUUCGGCUCAGGUCACGAUCUCACAGUUUGUGAGUUCAAGCCCCACAUCGGGCU
rnacentral:tRNA from 1 species